GGGCCGAGCUGGAUUUGAACCAGCGUAGACAUAUCGUCAACGAAUUUACAG
rnacentral:tRNA from 1 species